rnacentral:lncRNA from 1 species
GAAAAGGGUUCUUUCAAAAACCCUUAAAACCCACAAAAUUCAACAAAAUUGAAGAAGAAUCAAGUUAAAAACUGGGGCUUUAACUAAUUUCGUGAUCACCCAAGCUAGGAGAUCACAAGGUAUGUUGAAUUUUGUUCUUUGUUUGACGCUUGACAACCUAGGUGGAGGCUUGGGAAAGAAGCGGGUCAAACGGAUCGAGUAUGAGGAAAAAGAGCGUAAUCGGAUGCAAGGUAAGUAAAAGCUUACACCCUUAUCGUAAGAUAUGUAUUUAUUUAUAGAUUAUAAAUGCGACAAGGUUAUAUUCAAAAUACGAUUUGACACGAAAUGAUACGGGUCGGAACGUAUCAAAAGAUGAAAAACCAUGUUUAAUGGUAAAAAUGGGUGAAAUGGUAAUAUGGUCAUGAGAUGACAUAAAUAAAAAGAGAUUUUGAAUGGCUACU